AAGUUCGAUGAACUGCAUUCCCGGCUUCGUGUUUUUCCAGAUUUCCUCUUCUGGCUCCAUGCAGCCAAUAGACAUCUCAGGUCACAUGAAAGCAGCAGUACUUGUGAAGGUGACCGCAGGGGAGAACGGAGACCUUCGAACAACUGUCAGAGCUUUGACAGAGCUAUAUUAUGGUGGACUGCGCAGAAUUCUUCCAGUCUCCUCCACUGUCAGCAUAUGGAUCACGGAGAAGGUACGCGGAUGCGGAAUAAUCCUUGUUGAAGCUGCAGUCGGAAGAGCUUGCAGUUUGCGAUCCGCAAAGCUGCGCAGCCAGUACGGCGGAGGUCCGAUGGAAACAGUGGUUUAGUGCGCUGCCAGGUUCCCGUGCUCCUUUUAAAUUCUCUAACAUAGUCA
rnacentral:lncRNA from 1 species